AAGGAUUUAAGUUAAAUUUAAACUUGUAACCUUCAAAGUUACCUAUAAAGAGAAUCUACUUUAAGCCUUA
rnacentral:tRNA from 1 species